AAUCACUAUUCACUAAAUAAAAAAUUAUUAUUUCAAGCUCACAAAGAGAUUUAAAUUACAUGAACGAUAAAGAUAUUAAAUGGCAGUUUAUAUUCCAAUUGUAUAAUACUACUAUAACAUAACAAUGUUAUCCAAAAGCCUGUUAUAUCUGUUCCAUGAUGAUAUUUCUUGUUUUAUAUAUUUACUUCAGGUAAAGAAUCAACACUCUGUUACCCUCUUAAAAUCAUUAAUUAAAAUAACAUCAUUAGAAAGCCCUUGUUAUGCUACAU
rnacentral:lncRNA from 1 species